ACUAAAGAAGGAUGAAAUGACUGCUACUGCUGAACCCAGGACAGUUACUGCUGAACCCUGUUACACACAUGCAUCCAAGAAAAUGGGUAACAAGACUCUGAGAUCUUACAAUUGUUUUCUUCAUUAAAACAUGUAUUUCAGAAGAAAUAUAUUUUGCUAUUGUUAUUUGUAAGGCAACAAAAUAUUGUGGCAUUUACAUUUCAUCAGCAAAUUUAUAUUUGAUUACAGAAACAGACUGAAUGAAAUAGCUUGCUGGGAAUAUAUUGUACAUCUGCUGUUGGUAAUCAUAGUUACUGUAUGUAUUAGGAUCUUGGCCAUGGGGCAAGAUGGCCUUCUUUAACAAUAAGGUAUUCAUAAGUGAAAAGCAGGUCCUGGUCCUGUUUGAAAGAUCAAAGGAGAACAUCCAGGAUUGCUUGUACUAAGGAUAAGUUAUUUGACAGCUUGGCAAAAUGACCAUUAAAUUAACCAACUCAGCAGUGAAACCAACUUUUAAAGUGUCUCAAAGUGAACUGCUUUCAUUACAACAUUAAAAAUCACACCUAUCGGUCAAAAAGACCAUGGCCCAGGUGAAGACCCCUCCCCUGAGCACGCAUAGUGAUUAGAAGGAAUGACACUGCAAAUAGCAUAUGCAGAUUGCAAGCAAUCACUGCAUCUGUACCACCUUCUAACUUUUGUGUACAAAUGGAACAAGAAAACUGGUGUUGAUGUGCUUGAUUUGUGAAACAGUCCACAGAGCACCCAGGCCUGAAUAAACACAUCUCUCCUGAGCAUGUGGAAUUGGUUUGCUGCAUGCUGAGACAAGGAGGCACAAAAGCACAAAAUGUAAUCAGUUCUAAGCAAGUUUGAUGGCUUUGUAAUGGAAAAUAACUGCGGUGCUUGAAGGUAGCUGACAUAGUUUUAGGUCCUUAGGACCUUAGUACAAAAAGUGCAUGAAAAACAAAAUAGAAAAACAGGACCUGGGGAUGGGGAGUAUCUGGGACUAGGGAUGUCCAGGAUGGGCACAGUUAAACUAACUGAUAAGUAGAAGGACAGGAUGAUUGCUAUGUCUGUAAUGUUAAUUAAGCUGGUGCUUCAAAGACUGCCAGAAGUGAUGAAGAUUGUUGGGAGAAGUAAACGACCCUUAAA